GGGCCCGCACAAGCAGCGGAGCAUGUGGUUUAAUUCGAAGCAACGCGAAGAACCUUACCUAGACUUGACAUCUCCUGAAUUACUCGUAAUGGAGGAAGCCCUUCGGGGCAGGAAGACAGGUGGUGCAUGGUUGUCGUCAGCUCGUGUCGUGAGAUGUUGGGUUAAGUCCCGCAACGAGCGCAACCCUUAUCAUUAGUUGCUACCAUUAAGUUGAGCACUCUAGUGAGACUGCCCGGGUUAACCGGGAGGAAGGUGGGGAUGACGUCAAAUCAUCAUGCCCCUUAUGUCUAGGGCUACACACGUGCUACAAUGGGUGGUACAGAGAGACGCAAGACCGCGAGGUGGAGCAAAACUCUAAAACCACUCCCAGUUCGGAUUGAAGGCUGAAACUCGCCUUCAUGAAGCCGGAGUUGCUAGUAAUCGCGAAUCAGCAUGUCGCGGUGAAUACGUUCCCGGGCCUU
rnacentral:rRNA from 1 species